AAAGGGAUAUGUCUGAUAGUUAAGAUUGUUAUUUGGCGAAUUUUGAACGGAGCUCAAUCAGGCGGAAAGUUACACCCCCCUUGGCAGCCAAGUUGGGGGAGGGACAUGUAUAUAUUAUGCCUUGUUUCCACAGGAUUUCCUGUUUUAAAUAGCUCCGGACGCCCAGAGGAGCCACAUCUCUCCCUCCCUCCCUCUCUCUCUCUCUCUCUCUCUCUCUCUCUCUCUCUCUCUCCCCAGAACAAACCUCACCCAUCACCAUCACCACUUUCACAGGAGGGGAGAGAGGUGAGAAUCUCCCCACCCAGGCAAAAUUAACAGUACCUCAUCACCAUCUUCCUCCUCACCAUAUCACACUCACCCUCAACCACAACAAA
rnacentral:lncRNA from 1 species